GGUUCGGUGGUCAGGAUGAUUCUCGCUUAGGGUGCGAGAGGUCCGGGUUCAAAUCCCGGCGAACCC